rnacentral:sRNA from 1 species
CAGACACGACAGGAGCAGCUGGAGCUGAG